UACGUAGGGGGCGAGCGUUAUUCGGAAUUACUGGGCGUAAAGCGCGCGUAGGCGGCCUGCUAAAACAGGGGUGAAAUCCCUGGGCUCAACCUAGGAAAUGCUCUUGUGAUUGCCUGGCUAGAGUACGGUAGAGGGGGGUGGAAUUCCCGGUGUAGCAGUGAAAUGCGUAGAUAUCAGGAAGAACUCCGAUGGCGAAGGCAGCCCCCUGGGCUAGUACUGACGCUCAGGCGCGACAGCGAGGGGAGCGAACAGG
rnacentral:rRNA from 1 species